UUAAAGGAAUUGACGGAAGGGCACCACCAGGAAUGGAGCCUGCGGCUUAAUUUGACUCAACACGGGAAAACUUACCCGGCCCGGACACAGGAAGGAUUGACAGAUUAAGAGCUCUUUCUUGAUUCUGUGGGUGGUGGUGCAUGGCCAUUCUUAGUUGGUGGAGCGAUUUGUCUGGUUAAUUCCGAUAACGAACGAGACUCUAGCCUACUAAAUAGACGUUCCGAUCUUCUACGUCGGACGUUCUUCUUAGAGGGACAAGCGGCGUUCAGCCGCACGAGACAGAGCAAUAACAGGUCUGAGAUGCCCUUAGAUGUCCGGGGCCGCACGCGCGCUACAUUGAAGGAAUCAGCGUGUGCUUUCCCUGUCCGACAGGACUGGGUAACCCGUUGAACCUCCUUCGUGCUUGGGAUAGGAACUUGUAAUUGUUUUCCUUGAACGAGGAAUUCCCAGUAAGCGCGAGUCAUAAGCUCGUGUUGAUUACGUCCCUGCCCUUUGUACACACCGCCCGUCGCUACUACCGAUUGAAUGAUUUAGUGAGGUCUUCGGACUGUUUCCCAAUGCCGCUUUCGGGUGGCGCUGGCGUGACGGAAAGAUGACCAAACUUGAUCAUUUAGAGGAAGUAAAAGUCGUAACAAGGUUUCCGUA
rnacentral:rRNA from 1 species